GAUGAACGCUGGCGGCGUGCCUAAUACAUGCAAGUCGAGCGAACAGACGAGGAGCUUGCUCCUCUGACGUUAGCGGCGGACGGGUGAGUAACACGUGGAUAACCUACCUAUAAGACUGGGAUAACUUCGGGAAACCGGAGCUAAUACCGGAUAAUAUAUUGAACCGCAUGGUUCAAUAGUGAAAGACGGUUUUGCUGUCACUUAUAGAUGGAUCCGCGCCGCAUUAGCUAGUUGGUAAGGUAACGGCUUACCAAGGCAACCAUGCGUAGCCGACCUGAGAGGGUGAUAGGCCACACUGGAACUGAGACACGGUCCAGACUCCUACGGGAGGCAGCAGUAGGGAAUCUUCCGCAAUGGGCGAAAGCUUGACGGAGCAACGCCGCGUGAGUGAUGAAGGUCUUCGGAUCGUAAAACUCUGUUAUUAGGGAAGAACAAAUGUGUAAGUAACCAUGCACGUCUUGACGGUACCUAAUCAGAAAGCCACGGCUAACUACGUG
rnacentral:rRNA from 1 species